rnacentral:rRNA from 1 species
UACGUAGGGUGCGAGCGUUGUUCGGAAUCAUUGGGCGUAAAGGGCGUGUAGGCGGUUUGUUAAGUCAUGUGUGAAAUCCCUCGGCUCAACCGGGGAACGACGCAUGAAACUGGCAAGCUAGAGUACCAAAGAGGGGGGUGGAAUUUCCGGUGUAGCGGUGAAAUGCGUAGAUAUCGGAAGGAACACCAGUGGCGAAAGCGGCUUCCUGGUCCAGCACCGACGUUCAGGCACGAAAGCGUGGGGAGCAAACAGG